AUUACUGGGCGUAAAGCGCAUGCAGGUGGUUCAUUAAGUCAGAUGUGAAAGCCCGGGGCUCAACCUCGGAACUGCAUUUGAAACUGGUGAACUAGAGUACUGUAGAGGGGGGUAGAAUUUCAGGUGUAGCGGUGAAAUGCGUAGAGAUCUGAAGGAAUACCAGUGGCGAAGGCGGCCCCCUGGACAGAUACUGACACUCAGAUGCGAAAGCGUGGGGAGCAAACAGGAUUAGAUACCCUGGUAGUCCACGCCGUAAACGAUGUCUACUUGGAGGUUGUGGCCUUGAG
rnacentral:rRNA from 1 species